GUUACCCACAGUUAUAUGUAUAAAAUAUUUUUAUAUAUCUGUGCCCUGUGGUGUUACCUUUAGGCUAUAAGUCAUUUUUUACAAUUAUUUAUGUAUAAAAUUACCCAGAUUUCACUUUAAACGUUCAAUAUCUUGUGAAGUACUAUUUAUAAUUAUUAAUUUAUUACUUGAAUAAAAACGAAUUUUUCAGUGUUGGUAAAAAAAAAUAUUAUUUAAAAUCAAUUAGAGUUAAAGAUUACAUCAGAAUCAAAAAAUUGAACAAAUAGAUUUGUUGAAGAUUUAGUUACUGAAAAUAUAGAUAACAAUAACUUACUGCUCACGGAAUUUGUUAGCUGCUGCUGCUGCAGCCAGGAAUUCCAGUUGUGAACCUGACAAAAUGUUAAAAGAAUUUAAUUUUUUUCAAGUAUAACUUAGGGACUAAAACUCUAGAAGUUAAAAUCAAGCAAACCUCAAAAUUGUCGGACAAAUGCAAAUUGCCACACAAUAUUUGAAAAAAAUGUCAUUUUGGCUUUUGCCUAACUUCAUUUAGCAUUAUUGCAAAGACUUUUAUCAUAAGAUUUUAUCACGAUUAUUAAUGAUCAUACUUAGUCAAUCUAUCAUUGUUAUUUUAUUUUAUUUACUAUUUAUAUUAUAUGUAUACAAAAUACACCUUUGAA